rnacentral:rRNA from 1 species
GAUGAACGCUGGCGGCGUGCCUAAUACAUGCAAGUCGAGCGAACAGACGAGGAGCUUGCUCCUCUGUCGUUAGCGGCGGACGGGUGAGUAACGCGUGGAUAACCUACCUAUAAGACUGGGAUAACUUCGGGAAACCGAAGCUAAUACCGCAUAAUAUAUUGAACCGCAUGGUUCAAUAGUGAAAGACGCUUUUGCUGUCACUUAUACAUGGAUCCGCGCAGCUUUAUCUGGUUGGGAAGUAAACGGCUUACCAAGCCAAGGAUGCGUAGCCGACCUGAGAGGGUGACCGGCCACUCUGGAACGGGGCAACGGUCCAGACUCCUACGGGAGGCAGCAGUAGGGAAUCUUCGGCAAUGGGCGAAAGCCUGACGGAGCAACGCGGAGUGAGUGAUGAAGGUCUCCGGAUCGUAAAACUCUGUUAUUAGGGAAGAACAAGUGUGUAAGUAACUAUGCACGUCUUGACGGUACCUAAUCAGAAAGCGACGGCUAACUACGUG